GAAAAUGUUAAGUCGAAAACUAUUUUUAUGGAAAAGAAAUUCCGUUAAUAAAACCAUUCUACAAAACAUACGCAAUCAAAUGUAAACAAACCUCGUUUGCUUAUUUUAAAAGAAUCAAACUCAAAUUAGUUGAUGACCAUAAACUCAGUUUGAAACAGAGGCAGUUGUUCCAUCUUGUUUAAAAAAAGAUGGAUGGUUGUUUUGGCCAACGUGUGUCAAUGCAAUGAAAGCUACCUAUAAUAACUUUCUAAUCGUUGAUUUCUGCAACAAGCUUAGACUUAAUAGAGUUAAAGUAACUGGAGGUCGAUAAAUUUUACAAUAAAGAAGUAUGUGCAGGAUUUAAUUUCACGACUAAAGAGGUUUCCAAAGAAGAUUUUGAUUACCAGUAUAAAGUUAAUUAGUAAAGUUUUGGUGGAUCAAAGUUCAAGGAAUGAUUUGGUUUUAACUGGUUUGCAUCUUAUGAAUGAAGUAGAUAAUAUGAUUUAAGUUGAUGAUUUAUAGUUACACCUAUUGAAAAAUCACUUAUAAAAUGACUUGUGUUUUGUGCAACAAAAGUGUUGGAGAACUUUAUCAAGAAAGUUUAGUUGGAGAAAACCGAAUUGUUUGCCAUCAAUGUUUAAGUAGUUCUAGUGAUAUUCAUGAUCAUGAAGAGUUUAUUAUAUCAGCAUUUAGUAUGUUUACUAAACCUAAUUUAAAUGAAAUUGCAUCAUCACAGUUGCUCAAGUUAAUUUAUUCAGGCAAAUUAUAUAGUUACAGACAUAACUUAUUUAAAAGUGGUGGAAACGAUAAAA
rnacentral:misc_RNA from 1 species